GGUGUGCUCUGCUGCUGCACACCCGGCUCUGCCACAGCUGGCGCCCAGCUCCCUGCGGGCACACGGACACCCAAGCCAAACCUCAGGGUGCCAAAGCCAUUUCACUGCCUCGAAGGAUGAGGAUCCCUUGCCGAGGCCCUUACUGGCAGGGCAACCCGGAGUAAAGGGGCGGUGAGAGCUGGUCUACAAAGAAGGGAGGGAAAUUCAUCAUGUAAUAUACAGAUAUUGGUGUUGUGAAUCCUGAUUAUUUUGUCUGAGCAACAGGAGCUGAAUAUACUCAGAAGAUUGCCAGCUGCUUGCUUCCUGCUUGCUUUAUGGCUUUAAAGAAAGCUGCUGAUACCCGUGCAACAGAGCAUGGACCUUAUAUAUGAAUACUUUCAAGAAAAAAGUGUUCUUGUAGUCUGGUUCUUGAAAAAGAAGAAUUAAGAGAAUAUCUAAUAACCUGAUUUUAAGUUCCUGUAGUCUUUGACUCAUGUUGUUUGCAAAACUUUAAUUAUGAUAGGAUUCUGGAUUCUCAGUCUUAGCACUUUUUCUUUAUGCGAAAUUUGUGGUUGACAGUAAAUAUGCAUGCUCUUCAUCCAAACUCCUACUGGCUUCUUCUAUCCGAAAGAGGCUGAAUGCACAGCAGUUUCAUUAAGUACAGUUACCAGUACCAAAAAGAGAUGAUAAAAACUGGUUGCUGAAGGUAGGAAGUUCAGAGUUAGUGUCCAAAAGACUGUGGUACAUCCUUCUGUGCAGCUGGAAUUUGAUGUGGAUUUUCAGAAGUCCAAGAAAUCACUGCUCUCUUCAGGUUUGCAGUUCUUCUCUCUAGAAAUCAAAACCAAUUAUGCAUCUAUUCAAAUGUUCAUAUUGUUGCCUAUUGAAUUCUGAAAUGCAGUGGCUUUUUUUUCUUUUUUUUAAACUGUGCUACAAUUACCAAAGCAACCAUGAAGCUGCUGGAGCCAGUGCUAUUAUCUGACAGUGUUCAUUCUUCAGAAAAAUGCACCAUCUCUUUAAAAGAAAUAUGGACAAAUUCCCAUUGCAUGCAUGGUGAACCUGAGCAAACACGAUCAGCUUCUGUCAUCACCUUAAUUCACUGAUUUUCAGCCUUGUGUGGGCUGAGACAGGAACAGAAGAUUCAUAAAGAUAUGUGGUUACGGGGGAUGGAGGAAUAUAUUAGUAGUAGUGGUGGAGGCUACACGUGGGUCAAGUGAAUGAUACAGGGAGCUAAACAGACUUUGAAGGGGUUCGUUUUGUUUUUGUUUAGUUGUUCCAUUGCUGGUUUUUUGCAGGGUGGGAACCUUUCACACCUAUUCAGAUUUAAUAGUUGAAGCAUAACACUUCUCAGCCAGUAAUGUAUUUAGGUCUCUGGUACUCCAGUUAUGUGCUAUAAACUCUUUGCUCCCUCUGAAGUGGGAGAGCUAUUCAAAAUGGAGGCAGCAUUCUGCUCACAAUGUUGGAGAAACAUCUUGUUAAACAAUAUCAGCUAUUUUUCCCCAUCUAGGGGAAAGAAAUAAAAAAUCUUUCUGGACUCGCAGGAGAGAGCAGUUAGCAAAAUGAUUGUAAGCGACAGAAGAUCAGAAAACACAAAUGUCUACUCCUUUAUCAUGCCUUGCAUUAGAUGAUUGCCCCCAACUUAAAGGUGAGCCGUUAUUAAUCUAAUUUGCAGAAAGCAAGCCUUUAAGUGAAUGCUCACUGGCCAGAUUCCUUACCUUUUAAAUUUGCAUCACUUUUACCUAAAUGGAUCUCUUUCCUAAUUCCUUCAGUAAGCUUUAACCACAAGAGGAAGUUUAGUCUGAAGAAAGUACAGGAACUUCAGGAGAAACCAAGUAAACCCUGAUGCAAGGUGAGCAAUAGCAAUUAAAAGCAGGUCAGGACUGUUCUACCACAAUGCAGACCUGUUAGGCAUAAGCUAUUCUCUUGGUCCUAUUUUCAGAGGUACUCUGUCUUUACUGCACUUGCUGGUUUCUUUUGGAGCUGAAGAAUGCCAAAAUUGAACAUCCUUGUUAAGAGGAUAAGUUGAACUAACAUUUACACCUCAAGGAUGUCCCUGCCAAAACUUAGAACGUGUUAGUAUCUAUUAAACGAAGAUUUAACUGUA